UACGAAGGGGGCUAGCGUUGUUCGGAAUUACUGGGCGUAAAGCGUGCGCAGGCGGUCUUCCAAGUCAGUGGUGAAAGCCCGGAGCUCAACUCCGGAACUGCCAUUGAAACUGUGAGACUCGAGUACGAGAGAGGUGAGUGGAAUUCCCAGUGUAGAGGUGAAAUUCGUAGAUAUUGGGAAGAACACCGGUGGCGAAGGCGGCUCACUGGCUCAUUACUGACGCUCAGGCGCGACAGCGUGGGGAUCAAACAGG
rnacentral:rRNA from 1 species